rnacentral:lncRNA from 1 species
CUGACCUCUGCACCCUUUUGCUCCCCACCUGUCCCAAAAAAGUGGAGCUAUAACUGUGGGAAAAGGGGAUCUGAAGUCAGACACAGGAUCCACAGUAGCCUGGGGACCUUUCUCACCCCCGCCCUUAAGCAGGCCCCAACAUAACCGGCUGAGAAACCUCCUCUGCCAGAUCCUGACCUGAGCCAGGAGGCGGCCAGGAAACUGGAUUUUGGGACUGGGAUUUCAGAGAGGAAGCUGGAGAGCUGCAGGGUGGUCAUCUGUCACUUUAUUUUGCCCGUCUUGUAGCAUGUGGGUCUUUCGCAGCAGGAAGUGUGUUUUACAACCAGAGCCCCCGCCCUCCUGCAGCGCAGGCGCAGCUGGCUGGGCUCCUGCUUCCCACUCUCCACCUCAUCCAUAUUUGUCCUCGUCCCUGCCAGUCUCGAAAAGGCACUCUGUCACGUGUACACAGGAAAGGGCCCUGACAAGAGGAUGGGACUGCAGUUGUGGCUGCCAGGGCCCCGGCCAGGGUGAAAACAAGGAACAUUCCAGAGAAGAUCACAAGGAUGCGAAUAAAAUCGGAGCUGCACAGGGAUCUUUGGGCUGUAAUAGGAGGGGACACACAGGGGUUAGGGGAGGGUCUAGCCCUUGGCUCCCUCAGCCCAGCCCUCCUGUCACCUUGCCUCUCCCCUUUCCCCCACCUUAUUCUAUCCCACCCGCCACCGUUGGCCAACUCCUCUCCUAAACAGUGGACUCUGCUUUUUCCCCUCCUCUUAUCCCUAAUCCUAGGAGCUUUCUGUCUGGCUUCCCUCCUGGCCCCUCGUGUAUGCAUUCUCUCUAGCGGUGGGGAUUAAGGAGAAAACUCACGUGGCCAGUGGGUAGAGAGAGUCCGGGCAGGCAGCUGCCUGAAGUCAGCCAGAGUCUGCAUGUGCCCAGCUGUCCUGGCCUCCAGCAUCUCUGGAAAAACAGAGACAGAAUGAGUAGCAGCAGGGGACCCCAUAGGGCACAUCUGAAGGCCUGAGAGGUGCUGGAUGGGAUGGGAAGGCAGAAACAGGCUGACCUUAUCUAGGGGUAGGAGUGGGGAGUACUGGUUGGGGUAUCACCGCUACCCCACGUGAUGGCACAGAGAGUUGCCUGGAACUUACCACUGACAUAAGGUUGGAGUGCAGUGGCACGAUCUCGGCUCAGUGCAACCUCCGCCUCCUGAGUUCAAGUGAUUCUCCUGCCUCAGCCUCCCUAGUAGCUGGGAUUACAGGACAAGGAGAGGGACAAAUUCCUUCUUGGCAUCCUUAUGGCCCUGUGACCUGCUAAUGAAUGCUGACUCUGAGUUGCUACUAGAAUUUGGUUUCCUUGUGGCUUCCCAGGAAUUGGUCUCACUCUGCUCACUCUGUCUCCCAAGCUGGAGUGCAGUGGUACAGUCACGGCUCACUGCAGCCUCCACUUCCUGGACUCAAGUGAUCUUCUCACUUCAGCCUUCUGAGUAGCUGGGACUACAGGUAGACCCAGUGUAAUCACAAGCAUCCUUGUAAGUGGCAAAGAGGCAGAGGAGACAGCGCCAGAGAGGCAGCUGCAUGAGAAGGAUCAAGAUGUUGCUGACUUUGAAGUUGGAAGAAGAAGGCCAUGAGCCUCAGUAUGUGGGCGGCUUCUAGAAGCUGGAAGGGGCAAGGAGAUGGAUUUGACCCUUCAGCCUCCAGGGGCAGCUGUACCUGCCAUCACUGAUUGUAGCCUGGUGAGGCCUGUUUUAGACUUCUGACCUGUAGAGCUGUAACAUAAUACAUUUGGGUUGUUUUCAACCACUAAGUUUGUGGUAAUUUGUUGUAGCAGCUGUAGAAAAUGAAUACAUAUGAAUCCUCUGGCAUUUGUUUGAGAUUUGCUCUAUGGCCUAGUAUGUGGUUGUAAAUGUUCCAUCUGUGCCUGAAAAAAUGUAUAUUUCUAAUUCAGUAGUCUCUGCUUUUUUUUUUUAUUUUGUACCCCAUCAAUAAAAUGAUUUUCAGCAUGUAUCCCCAAAUAAACAAUAUUUUAUUUAUUGAUUGAUUGAUAAACAGACAUGUUUAAUGAUAGCUUGCUUUUCACAGAGGUGACUUCGGAGACUUCUAAUCUAUAAUCCAGGAGUAUAUAACCAUGCAGCACAGACCAAUUAGUCACAUGUAAAAUAAACUAGAUUCUUACCAC